CGUGUAGGCGGUCCGCUAAGUCGGCUGUGAAAGUCCAGGGCUCAACCCUGGGAUGCCGGUCGAUACUGGCGGACUAGAGUCCGGAAGAGGCGAGUGGAAUUCCCGGUGUAGCGGUGAAAUGCGCAGAUAUCGGGAGGAACACCAAUGGCGAAGGCAGCUCGCUGGGACGGUACUGACGCUGAGACGCGAAAGCGUGGGAGCAAACA
rnacentral:rRNA from 1 species